GCGGCGUGCUUAACACAUGCAAGUCGAACGAUGAUGCGGCGCUUGCGCCGUUGAUUAGUGGCGAACGGGUGAGUAACACGUGAGUAACCUGCCCCCUUCUUCGGGAUAACGGUCUGAAAGGGCUGCUAAUACCGGGUAUUCACUGGUCUCCGCAUGGGGGCUGGUGGAAAGGUUGUUUUUCUGGUGGGGGAUGGGCUCGCGGCCUAUCAGCUUGUUGGUGGGGUGAUGGCCCACCAAGGCUUUGACGGGUAGCCGGCCUGAGAGGGUGACCGGUCACAUUGGGACUGAGAUACGGCCCAGACUCCUACGGGAGGCAGCAGUGGGGAAUAUUGCACAAUGGGCGCAAGCCUGAUGCAGCGACGCCGCGUGAGGGAUGGAGGCCUUCGGGUUGUGAACCUCUUUCGCCCGUGGUCAAGCCGCGACGUGGGUCGUGGUGAGGGUAGUGGGUAAAGAAGCGCCGGCUAACUACGUGCCAGCAGCCGCGGUAAUACGUAGGGCGCGAGCGUUGUCCGGAAUUAUUGGGCGUAAAGGGCUUGUAGGCGGCUGGUCGCGUCUGC
rnacentral:rRNA from 1 species